AGCGAACGCUGGCGGCAGGCCUAACACAUGCAAGUCGAACGAUCCUUCGGGAUAGUGGCGGACGGGUGAGUAACACGUGGGAACGUACCUUUAGGUUCGGGAUAACUCAGGGAAACUUGAGCUAAUACCGGAUAAGCCCUUUUGGGGAAAGAUUUAUCGCCUUUAGAGCGGCCCGCGUUAGAUUAGCUAGUUGGUGGGGUAAAGGCCCACCAAGGCUCCGAUCUAUAGCUGGUCUGAGAGGAUGAUCAGCCACACUGGGACUGAGACACGGCCCAGACUCCUACGGGAGGCAGCAGUGGGGAAUCUUGCGCAAUGGGCGAAAGCCUGACGGAGCGACACCGCGUGGAGGAUGAAGCCCUUUCCGGGCGUAAACUCCUGUUCUGAGGGACGAAAUUUUGACGGUACCUCAGGAGAAAGCAUCGGCUAACCCUGUGCCAGCCGCCGCCGUAA
rnacentral:rRNA from 1 species